CCUACGGGAGGCAGCAGUGGGGAAUUUUGGACAAUGGGCGAAAGCCUGAUCCAGCAAUGCCGCGUGAGUGAAGAAGGCCUUCGGGUUGUAAAGCUCUUUUGUCAGGGAAGAAACGGUGUGGGCUAAUAUCCUGCACUAAUGACGGUACCUGAAGAAUAAGCACCGGCUAACUACGUGCCAGCAGCCGCGGUAAUACGUAGGGUGCAAGCGUUAAUCGGAAUUACUGGGCGUAAAGCGUGCGCAGGCGGUUUUGUAAGUCUGUCGUGAAAUCCCCGGGCUCAACCUGGGAAUUGCGAUGGAGACUGCAAGGCUAGAAUCUGGCAGAGGGGGGUAGAAUUCCACGUGUAGCAGUGAAAUGCGUAGAGAUGUGGAGGAACACCGAUGGCGAAGGCAGCCCCCUGGGUCAAGAUUGACGCUCAUGCACGAAAGCGUGGGGAGCAAACAGGAUUAGAUACCCUGGUAGUCCACGCCCUAAACGAUGUCUACUAGUUGUCGGGUUUUAAUUAACUUGGUAACGCAGCUAACGCGUGAAGUAGACCGCCUGGGGAUACGGUCGCAAGNUUAAAACNCAAAGGAAUUGACGG
rnacentral:rRNA from 1 species